rnacentral:rRNA from 1 species
AGAGUUUGAUCCUGGCUCAGAACGAACGCUGGCGGCAGGCCUAACACAUGCAAGUCGAACGAGAAAGUGGAGCAAUCCAUGAGUAAAGUGGCGACCGGGUGAGUAACACGUGACUAACCUACCUUUCGAGUGGGGGAUAACCUCGGGAAACCGAGGCUAAUACCGCAUAACAUCGCAAGAUCAAAGCAGCAAUGCGCUGGAAGAGGGGGUCGCGGCUGAUUAGCUAGUUGGCGGGGUAACGGCCCACCAAGGCGAAGAUCGGUAGCCGGCCUGAGAGGGCGCACGGCCACACUGGAACUGAAACACGGUCCAGACUCCUACGGGAGGCAGCAGUGGGGAAUUUUGCGCAAUGGGGGAAACCCUGACGCAGCAACGCCGCGUGGAGGAUGAAGCCCCUUGGGGCGUAAACUCCUUUCGACCAAGACGAUAAUGACGGUACUGGUGGAAGAAGCACCGGCUAACUCUGUG